AAAUUAAAGUUUAUAAUUUUAAAUUCUAAAUUUUAAAUUUUAAAUUUAAAUUUUGAUAUUUUAAAAUUUUGAAAUUUAAAAUUUGAUAUUUUAUAUUUUUAAAAUUUAAAUUUGAUCUUAAAUUUAAAGUUUGAAAUUUAAAAUUUAAAAUUUUGAAUUUAAAAUUUGAAAUUUUAAAUUUCAAAUUUUGAAAUUUCAAAGUUAAAAUUUUAAAUUUAAAAAUAUAUAUUUAAAAAUUUAAAAUUUUAAAUUCAAAUAUAAUAAGAGGAUGAUAUGAUUAUUUUUUAUUUAUAAAUCCACUAUCUUUUUUAUUCCAUCUUAACUAACCAGACACUAUUUUUUUUAUUCCCAGGAAUAAUCUAAUUUUCAUCCAAACGCAAAAUUGAUCUAAUCCCCGCUUAUACCUCAAUUUAUACCUAUCCCUGAAAUAACCACUUUUUGCUUAUCUUCGAACCAAACGAUACCUUAGAGUACACUAACUAAUAUCACUGCUAAUAACUAUUCUUAAGAUAAUAAUUA
rnacentral:lncRNA from 1 species